GCCUUCGUGGUAUAAUGGCCAGUACACUCGGCGCGCAUUUGAGAGGUCCGAGGUUCGAGUCCCGGCUAGGGCA
rfam:Stegodyphus mimosarum contig97023, whole genome shotgun sequence.